rnacentral:rRNA from 1 species
UUUUUGAAAAUAAUUUAAAGUUUAAUCUGCUCAAUGAUUUAUUAAAUAGCUGCAGUAAUUUAACUGUACUAAGGUAGCAUAAUCAAUAGUUUUUUAAUUGAAAGCUAGAAUGAAGGAUUGGAUGAAAUAAUAAUUGUCUCAAAUUUAAAAAAAUUAGAAUUUUUUUUUUUAGUUAAAAAGCUAAAAUGAUAUUAAAAGACGAGAAGACCCUAUAGAUUUUUAUAAUUUAAUUAAAUAAUAAUAAUAAUAAAAUUUAUAAUUAAUUAGUUAGAUUAUUUGAUUGGGGAAAUUAUUAAAUUUAAUUAAUUUUAAUUAUUUUAAACAUUAAUUUAUGAAUAAAUGAUCUUAAUUUAUGGAUUGGAAGAAGAAAAUACCUUAGGGAUAACAGCGUAAUAUUUUUAGAAAGAUCUUAUUAAUAAAAGUGAUUGCGACCUCGAUGUUGAAUUAAAAUAAAAUUAUAAUGGAGAAGUUAUAAAUUUUUGGUCUGUUCGACCAUUAAAAUUUUACGUGAUC